GAAUGUAGUCGAGACCCCGACGAUUUACCUCCUCUGACAUUUCCAGAUAUUUUUGUAUAUUUAGUCUGUGGUGUGAGUGCUUAUACCGAGGCUCAGUUUCAUAAUUUUAAAUCUAUGGAAGCCCACGUUCAAUUUACAAAUGGCUGGGUCCAUGACUUGGAAGCCUACAAACCACGAGCUGUGAAAACACUUUCAUUCGUACAAAGGUGUGAUCUUACUUACCUACCUGUGAUUAGUGAAACACGCAUCUUAACACAAUAUUUAAAACAGAUUUAUAUAUUAUCCUCCUGACUACCAGCUAUGGAGUUUUAUGCACAUUAUCUUUUAGCGAUUUCUCUGAGACAUUACAGUCUGGAUGUCCUGUACAGAGCAAGUUCAGGGCUUUUCAGAGAUAAAUGAUUGGAUGUGUCACCAUGGCCACUCCCUCUCCUUGGUCUAUAAAAAUGGAUGACGUUAAUUUAGUGAUCAAGUGUAACACCCUUAUGGAAAUAUGAUGAUAUUUUGUACUUAAAUCAGCAUUUCAUGAAAAUGUUGUGAGGUUUCAAAUCAAAAUAUGGCCUUCUGUUAUGAAACAGGGCAUCAAUUUCAUACAUGUCAAGUCCAAUGUAGAGGACACCAGGACUUAAAUCAUGUUUAUUACACAUUUUGGGAGACACAACAAAUUACUAGAAAACAUUAUAUAUCAAAAUUCCUAUUAAAUAUUUUAUAUAUAUAUAUAUAUAAUUACAUACUAGAUACUAGUACUAGAUACUAUGCUUUCAGUUCCAACUGAACUCAUGUGGCAACAUAUUUAAGUGUUAUUAAGAGAAUUUCUCGUGCUUCAGUGUCACAGUGAUCUGGCUGGGUUACACCUGGUAAUAUCUGAGUGGCUCAGCUGAGUGCUCUGUUUUGAUCACAUGCAUUCAGCGUGCUUUAUUUGAACUAGCCUAACUUAGCUUGCUCUUGUUCUAGUGUUUAGUUGCAAAAUGUAGAGGAACCUAUGACUACUCCUCUCGGUAACAGAACAAAAUGAGAACACAAUCGUUUGCUAAGUGAGGUUUAUACACUUACCUGAAUGAAAAUGCCUGGAACACACUUUAAGUGAUCUUGGGAUGUCUGCGAAAUGUAUGUCCGUACGUCUUAUGGCGGAUAUCCAGGCCAUCCGUCUCCGCUUUGUUACAUCAGACACACGACUCCCUUCAUUUAGUUUCCAGGCCGGAAAACAAUAAAAAGAAAGACCGUUGUCUAUUUUUCUCCCACGUCGAUUGUGUGAACGGACAUUACAUCCAACAACACAGCAGGUUCUUCCCAUGACUAAAACUUCGUCGGCGCGUCAGAACAAGUGGCCUCACAAUAUGGCGAUUUUUCCCAUCAGCCAUCGCGGCGCUAGAGCCGUUACGUCACGCCCCCAUACUCUAUUAUCAUGGCUCGGUGUGUUUAGUUUUCUCUUUCCUGCAUGUCCUGCUGCCCACAACCACUCCAAUCGGCAUCUCCAACCUUCGUUUCGUCACGGCUGAGGAAGCACCCGGUCGGAGCAGGAAAUGAUAUAGUUUGACACUGUUUACUUGCCACUGUUCUGUGUAAUACGUCUGAUAUAUGUCUGUCCAAGCUGAAGCUGCCCCCCGACCUCAAUCAUCCUGUAGGAGGCAAAGCUCAUCUGUAUCCAAGUCUACAAGGACAUUUGUUGACUUUACUCUUUUUAUUUGUACAGUUGUAUAGAUACACUUUGUGAAUAUUUGUAAAUAUUUGUGCAUUAAGACUUGUAGUAAACAGCAAACAAAGUGGAUGUGCUUUAACUUUAACUGUCUCUGCAUGUAUGGUCUUGUAUGAAACACAGGUAUAGCUGAAGUCAAGUUUUGAAUGAAAGCUGUAACAUGCAUUGUCUGAAACCUACUCUCACACUCUGUGUGCCUCUCUGGACAGCUGUCUGUGUCUCUAAUACAUAUGCAAGUUUCCACCAUCCCCUACAGGCUGCUGCAAGAUCUCCACUGUCGUUGUCGGACGCGUGGGGCGUGGAGACAGCACUCCUCAUCCAGGACCUCCUCAACAUCAUCCCAUUGCUGGACGCUCUCCGCAUCCAGGACAUUUGGAGAACGCAGAGGCGCCACCUCAGCUGCAUUCAGGACCCACCGAGCGUGCAGCUGUACACCCAGACUGGCAGGCUGACAAAGGCCACAGUCAGCUGAAGGACAGGUGGAGCCUCUGCACUCCUACAGUGGCCACCUCAAGCACGUCCUUAACCAGAAGAGCCAAAGGGUGCUUGGCCUUCAGAUGGUUAAGGACGUCACCAAGCCUGCAGAGUACACAGGGGAGCUCAUCGGGGUGGAGUUCCUCUACUGGCAGACGGGCAGAGUGCUUGAGGACGUCAGCUUGGACCCUGACACUCCGGACGAGGCUGCUGCCAUCCAGUCGCUCGAGGAGGUGGAUGAGGGAGGAGAUGCAGGGUCCUGACGGCCAGCCGGGAUAUCAGCAUGUCCUGAAGCUGGCCCAGGCCCUGCUGGAAGCAGGAGCCUUCAGGGGCUUUCUGACAGCAGGGUAGACAGACUCAUCGCGCUCUGGCAACGCCUGCCAGAGCAGGACAAACAGCGAGUUGUCUACCCUCCCAGACACCG